rnacentral:tRNA from 5 species
AGGGCAGUAGCUCAGUUGGUAGAGCAUCGGUCUCCAAAACCGAAGGUCGCAGGUUCGACCCCUGUCUGCCCUGCCA